rnacentral:rRNA from 1 species
CGAGGGGCAGCGGGGAGCAAGCUUGCUUGCUCUGCCGGCGACCGGCGCACGGGUGAGUAACACGUAUGCAACCUGCCCUCCGCAGGGGGAUAACCCGGAGAAAUCCGGACUAAUACCGCGUGGUACAUCUGUGGGGCAUCCCACGGGUGUUAAAAGGAAGCGAUUCCGGCGGAGGAUGGGCAUGCGGCGCAUUAGCUUGUUGGCGGGGUAACGGCCCACCAAGGCGACGAUGCGUAGGGGUUCUGAGAGGAAGGUCCCCCACACUGGUACUGAGACACGGACCAGACUCCUACGGGAGGCAGCAGUGAGGAAUAUUGGUCAAUGGGCGGGAGCCUGAACCAGCCAAGUCGCGUGAGGGAAGACGGUCCUAUGGAUUGUAAACCUCUUUAGGCGGGGAGCAAUGCCGGGCACGCGUGCCCGGAGGGAGAGUACCCGCAGAAUAAGCAUCGGCUAACUCCGUGCCAGCAGCCGCGGUAAUACGGAGGAUGCGAGCGUUAUCCGGAUUUAUUGGGUUUAAAGGGUGCGUAGGCGGAUUUCUAAGUCAGCGGUAAAAUGUCCGGGCUCAACCCGGGCCGGCCGUUGAAACUGGGGAUCUUGAGUGGGCGAGAAGUAUGCGGAAUGCGUGGUGUAGCGGUGAAAUGCAUAGAUAUCACGCAGAACUCCGAUUGCGAAGGCAGCAUACCGGCGCCCGACUGACGCUGAGGCACGAAAGCGUGGGGAUCGAACAGGAUUAGAUACCCUGGUAGUCCACGCAGUAAACGAUGAAUGCUAGU